rnacentral:lncRNA from 1 species
CUUAGCACUGCAGAACUUGUUGAACUUGAAGAUCGUGAUCAUCUAGCGAGCAUGUUCUCAACUAGGCGGCACCGCACUUCAUCAUGGAAGAGGUUCGAUUCUAUGGAAAAGGGGACACGGUCUUCCAUAAUAUCCGUAUCCACUCUUUCUCGUAGAAUCGGACCUCCUCCUUGACGUACGUUGCUGCUCGGUGGAGAACAUUAUCACCGAGAUGAACACGGUAUGCAAGUUCAACAAGUAUGGAUUUGAAAAACCAUAUUGAAUUUGACAAGAUAAAUUGUCUAGACAAGGGUAGCAUCAUUCUUAAACCACUGCAAGGAUACAUACUAUAUAUGACACAUCAAUCUCUCUCACAUUCUAGCUCAAAAUACCUCUCCAUUUUCUACUUCACAUUCUAGUAAAUAAACUAUACAUCUCCAUUCUACACAUCAAGUUAUUUUAACUAAUACGAAUCGUAUAUAACAAACAAACUAUCCAUCACAUUCUAGCUCAAAAACACGUAUAAAUACAAAUCCUCUUCAUUCUCCCUCUUUCAAACAAACAAACUCAUUU